rnacentral:rRNA from 1 species
GACGAACGCUGGCGGCGUGCUUAACACAUGCAAGUCGAACGGAGCGAAUGAAAGCUUGCUUUUAUGAGCUUAGUGGCAAACGGGUGAGUAACACGUAGACAACCUGCCGACAGGAUGGGGACAACAUUCCGAAAGGAAUGCUAAUACCGAAUGAAGUCAGAGGAGGGCAUCCUCCUCUGAUGAAAGAUGGCCUCUUUUUAUGCUAUCACCUGUUGAUGGGUCUGCGUCUGAUUAGCUGGUUGGUGAGGUAACGGCUCACCAAGGCGACGAUCAGUAGCCGGUCUGAGAGGAUGAACGGCCACAUUGGGACUGAGACACGGCCCAGACUCCUACGGGAGGCAGCAGUGGGGAAUCUUCCGCAAUGGGCGCAAGCCUGACGGAGCAACGCCGCGUGAGUGAAGAAGGUCUUCGGAUCGUAAAGCUCUGUUGACGGGGACGAACGUGCGGAGUGCGAAUAGCG